GGCCUUGCCCCAAGGCAGAAAAUACACUUGUUAAGAUUAGCUGGUAGAUGAUGACAGUAGGGUCAUCCGGUCGAAAGUUAGGAUUUUAGAAAAAGCAGACAA
rnacentral:sRNA from 12 species